UAUAUUUGUGGCAAAAUUAUGCAUGUCUGUGUAUGUAUUUAUGCAAGGUAUGUUGUGGGAUUUUUUUGUUUGUUUUCUGUUUCUUUUUUACUACUAUGACUCAUCUGCUUGUGUUUGCGUAUGCAUGUGUGUGCAAGGGCAGGGAGAGAGACUGAGAGAGAUGAAUAGAGACUAUGACCCUUUGAACACACUGUGCGCAUAUAUAUAUAUAUAUAUAUAUAUGCAUUUGAGAGAUGACUGUAUCUUGCAGGUGGGUGCAAGAACCCUCAGUGCCUGUAACUGAGGCAGGGAGAUAAGACAAAGGACUCACUUUACCAAAUGUAAAUCUCAAGGGUGUUUGUAUAGAGGCUGCAGAUGGAAAAGAAAUGCCCUCUUUCCUUGGAGCUAGGUUGGUUUUGAUUUUCACAUGCUCUCCAGAGCAAGUGGAUGUGUUACCUCUUUGCAGCUCCUGACAUGGAAAAAACUGCUAGGGAGA